UCCGAGUUGACCCCGGCAGUCUCCUACGAGUCCCCGGCAUUACCCGCUGGCAACAUAGGACAAGGGUUGCGCUCGUUGCGGGACUUAACCCAACAUCUCACGACACGAGCUGACGACAGCCAUGCAGCACCUGUGCACGCUCCCGAAGGUCGGUCGGGUUUCCCCUCCCUACCACGUGCAUGUCAAACCCAGGUAAGGUUCUUCGCGUUGCAUCGAAUUAAACCACACGCUCCGCUGCUUGUGCGUGCCCCCGUCAAUUCCUUUGAGUUUUAAUCUUGCGACCGUACUCCCCAGGCGGAAUGCUUAAAGCGUUAGCUUCGGCACAGAGAGGGUUGAUGACCUCCCCACACCUAGCACUCAACGUUUACGGCUGGGACUAC
rnacentral:misc_RNA from 1 species